rnacentral:rRNA from 1 species
AGUGAACGCUGGCGGUAGGCCUAACACAUGCAAGUCGAACGGCAGCACAGUAAGAGCUUGCUCUUACGGGUGGCGAGUGCGGACGGGUGAGGAAUACAUCGGAAUCUACUUUUUCGUGGGGGAUAACGUAGGGAAACUUACGCUAAUACCGCAUACGACCUACGGGUGAAAGCAGGGGAUCUUCGGACCUUGCGCGAUUGAAUGAGCCGAUGUCGGAUUAGCUAGUUGGCGGGGUAAAGGCCCACCAAGGCGACGAUCCGUAGCUGGUCUGAGAGGAUGAUCAGCCACACUGGAACUGAGACACGGUCCAGACUCCUACGGGAGGCAGCAGUGGGGAAUAUUGGACAAUGGGCGCAAGCCUGAUCCAGCCAUACCGCGUGGGUGAAGAAGGCCUUCGGGUUGUAAAGCCCUUUUGUUGGGAAAGAAUAGCAGCAGGUUAAUACCCCGCUGUUCUGACGGUACCCAAAGAAUAAGCACCGGCUAACUUCGUG